GAGGCGAACCGGGGGAACUGAAACAUCUAAGUACCCCGAGGAAAAGAAAUCAACCGAGAUUCCGAAAGUAGCGGCGAGCGAAAUUGGACUAGCCCUUAAGCUUUACACGCGUUAGACGAACGGUCUGGAAAGUCCGACGAUACAGGGUGAUAGUCCCGUAGUUGACGACGUGUGUUCAGUGAAAUCGAGUAGGGCGGGACACGUGAUAUCCUGUCUGAAUAUGGGGGGACCAUCCUCCAAGGCUAAAUACUACUGACUGACCGAUAGUGAACCAGUACCGUGAGGGAAAGGCGAAAAGAACCCCUGUGAGGGGAGUGAAAUAGAACCUGAAACCGUGUACGUACAAGCAGUAGGAGCAGGCUUGUCCUGUGACUGCGUACCUUUUGUAUAAUGGGUCAGCGACUUAUAUUCAGUGGCAAGGUUAACCAUCUAGGGGAGCCGUAGGGAAACCGAGUCUUAACUGGGCGUUCAGUCUCUGGAUAUAGACCCGAAACCAGGUGAUCUAGCCAUGGGCAGGUUGAAGGUUGAGUAACAUCAACUGGAGGACCGAACCGACUAAUGUUGAAAAAUUAGCGGAUGACUUGUGGCUAGGGGUGAAAGGCCAAUCAAACCUGGAGAUAGCUGGUUCUCCCCGAAAGCUAUUUAGGUAGCGCCUCGGACGAAUACUACUGGGGGUAGAGCACUGUUAAGGCUAGGGGGUCAUCCCGACUUACCAACCCUUUGCAAACUCCGAAUACCAGUAAGUACUAUCCGGGAGACACACGGCGGGUGCUAACGUCCGUCGUGGAGAGGGAAACAACCCAGACCGCCAGCUAAGGUCCCAAAUUACUACUAAGUGGGAAACGAUGUGGGAAGGCUCAGACAGCCAGGAUGUUGGCUUAGAAGCAGCCAUCAUUUAAAGAAAGCGUAAUAGCUCACUGGUCGAGUCGGCCUGCGCGGAAGAUGUAACGGGGCUAAGUAGUAAACCGAAGCUGCGGCAAUAUACUUUUGUAUAUUGGGUAGGGGAGCGUUCUGUAAGCGGUUGAAGGUGUGUGGUAACGCAUGCUGGACGUAUCAGAAGUGCGAAUGCUGACAUGAGUAACGAUAAAGGGGGUGAAAAACCUCCUCGCCGGAAGACCAAGGGUUCCUGUCCAACGUUAAUCGGGGCAGGGUAAGUCGACCCCUAAGGCGAGGCCGAAAGGCGUAGUCGAUGGGAAACGGGUUAAUAUUCCCGUACUUCUUACAAUUGCGAUGGGGGGACGGAGAAGGCUAGGUGGGCCUGGCGACGGUUGUCCAGGUUCAAGUGCGUAGGCUUGAGAGUUAGGUAAAUCCGGCUCUCUUUAAGGCUGAGACACGACGUCGAGCAUCUACGGAUGUGAAGUCAUUGAUGCCAUGCUUCCAGGAAAAGCCUCUAAGCUUCAGAUUGUAAGGAAUCGUACCCCAAACCGACACAGGUGGUCGGGUAGAGAAUACCAAGGCGCUUGAGAGAACUCGGGUGAAGGAACUAGGCAAAAUGGUACCGUAACUUCGGGAGAAGGUACGCUCUUGAUGGUGAAGUCCCUUGCGGAUGGAGCUGACGAGAGUCGCAGAUACCAGGUGGCUGCAACUGUUUAUUAAAAACACAGCACUGUGCAAAAUCGUAAGAUGACGUAUACGGUGUGACGCCUGCCCGGUGCCGGAAGGUUAAUUGAUGGGGUUAGACUUCGGUCGAAGCUCUUGAUCGAAGCCCCGGUAAACGGCGGCCGUAACUAUAACGGUCCUAAGGUAGCGAAAUUCCUUGUCGGGUAAGUUCCGACCUGCACGAAUGGCGUAAUGAUGGCCACGCUGUCUCCACCCGAGACUCAGUGAAAUUGAAAUCGCUGUGAAGAUGCAGUGUACCCGCGGCUAGACGGAAAGACCCCGUGAACCUUUACUACAGCUUGGCACUGAACAUUGACCCUACAUGUGUAGGAUAGGUGGGAGGCUUUGAAGCACGUACGCCAGUAUGUGUGGAGCCGUCCUUGAAAUACCACCCUUGUAGUGUUGAUGUUCUAACGUCGACCCCUUAUCGGGGUUGCGGACAGUGCCUGGUGGGUAGUUUGACUGGGGCGGUCUCCUCCCAAAGAGUAACGGAGGAGCACGAAGGUGGGCUAAUCACGGUUGGACAUCGUGAGGUUAGUGCAAUGGCAUAAGCCCGCUUGACUGCGAGAAUGACAAUUCGAGCAGGUGCGAAAGCAGGUCAUAGUGAUCCGGUGGUUCUGAAUGGAAGGGCCAUCGCUCAACGGAUAAAAGGUACUCCGGGGAUAACAGGCUGAUACCGCCCAAGAGUUCAUAUCGACGGCGGUGUUUGGCACCUCGAUGUCGGCUCAUCACAUCCUGGGGCUGAAGUCGGUCCCAAGGGUAUGGCUGUUCGCCAUUUAAAGUGGUACGCGAGCUGGGUUUAGAACGUCGUGAGACAGUUCGGUCCCUAUCUGCCGUGGGCGUUGGAAGAUUGAAGGGGGCUGCUCCUAGUACGAGAGGACCGGAGUGGACGAACCUCUGGUGUUCGGGUUGUGUCGCCAGACGCAUUGCCCGGUAGCUAAGUUCGGAAUCGAUAACCGCUGAAAGCAUCUAAGCGGGAAGCGAGCCCUGAGAUGAGUCUUCCCUGAUACUUUAAGUAUCCUAAAGGGUUGUCGGAGACUACGACGUUGAUAGGUCAGGUGUGUAAGUGCUGUGAGGCAUUGAGCUAACUGAUACUAAUUGCCCGUGAGGCUUAACCAUACAACACCCAAGGGGUUU
rnacentral:rRNA from 1 species